rnacentral:rRNA from 1 species
UACGGAGGGUGCGAGCGUUGUCCGGAAUCACUGGGCGUAAAGGGCGCGUAGGCGGCCUGAUAAGUAGGGGGUGAAAUCCUGCGGCUUAACCGCAGGGCUGCCUUCUAAACUGUCAGGCUAGAGCACGGUAGAGGCAGACGGAAUUCCCGGUGUAGCGGUGGAAUGCGUAGAGAUCGGGAAGAACAUCAGUGGCGAAGGCGGUCUGCUGGGCCGUUGCUGACGCUGAGGCGCGACAGCGUGGGGAGCAAACAGG